ACCACUGGACCACCAGGGAAAGCCCUCUUGCUUAGCUUUUGAUCCCUGCCCUUUCCUUGAAAGCACAUACUCAAGAAUCCCUAUUUCCGCAUCUAGGGAACAUGACAUAAGUCAAGAGGAUCAAGUGAAAAGUAAGCUUCCUUCCUGCAUCUCUCCUGCAGGCAUCCAGUUCACUCAUAAGAGUAAACCUGCUAUAUGGAGUGUUUGGGGGUAAAAAAGGAGACCUUUGUGAACACUCGAGGUAGUGGAGAGCUGCAACUGCCAGGAACAAUCACAAUACAAGCAGUGGUGACCAGCAGAGAAAGACCUGACUUUGGUACUGAGGACUGAGACCUUACGGCGCCAUUCAAUAGAGAAAUUGGGUUCAAGUGUAGGUUAAUUCAGGAAUAGACUUGACAUACCUUCUCCUGGAAUAUACUGGAUAACACAAAACAUUGAAAAGAGAAGCUACAGCCUGCUAACCCACGGGUUGGGACAAUCUAUCCAGCAGAUAUUUAUUUCAUGUCAUUGUAAAUAAUAAAAGCUCAUUGUUUUAUUGAGUACUUGCUAUUUGCCAUCCACUGGCACUGGGCUGAUGAAUAUAUACAUUAAAUGAAUUGUGGUUCA